CACGGCCUAUCAGCUUGUUGGCGGGGUAACGGCCCACCAAGGCAUCGACGGGUAGCUGGUCUGAGAGGACGAUCAGCCACACUGGGACUGAGACACGGCCCAGACUCCUACGGGAGGCAGCAGUGGGGAAUCUUGCGCAAUGGGCGAAAGCCUGACGCAGCAACGCCGCGUGCGGGAUGAAGGCCUUCGGGUUGUAAACCGCUUUCAGCAGGGACGAAAAUGACGGUACCUGCAGAAGAAGCCCCGGCCAACUACGUGCCAGCAGCCGCGGUAACACGUAGGGGGCGAGCGUUGUCCGGAUUUAUUGGGCGUAAAGAGCUCGUAGGCGGUUCCGUCAGUCGGGUGUGAAAACUCUGGGCUCAACCCAGAGACGCCACCCGAUACUGCGGUGACUAGAGUCCGGUAGGGGAGCGUGGAAUUCCUGGUGUAGCGGUGAAAUGCGCAGAUAUCAGGAGGAACACCAACGGCGAAGGCAGCGCUCUGGGCCGGUACUGACGCUGAGGAGCGAAAGCGUGGGUAGCAAACAGGAUUAGAUACCCUGGUAGUCCACGCCGUAAACGUUGGGCACUAGGUGUGGGGCCUUAUCAACGGGUUCCGUGCCGUAGCUAACGCAUUAAGUGCCCCGCCUGGGGAGUACGG
rnacentral:rRNA from 1 species